CGGUAAUCUUUCAAACUUUACGAAACGAUUUCGCGCGGUAAGCAUUUCUCGAUGUGUGCAAUUUAUUUUUUCGUUUUUUUUUUUUUUAUUAUUUCAUUCUGCAAAACGCGGUGAGCAAUGUAUCGGUUUUACCGCGACCCGUGUUUCCAUCACCCCUUCACCGUCAUGUCCUUUAGCCGCUUUUCUACCCGGAAAUCUCGAUCACUCGAUAGUGUAUAACGUUCUUUCCCCAGAAGAAUACGGUUUCUGAUUAUUUUUUUUUUCGAUUUUUCUUGUAGUAUUUCUUAAACAAUUGGGGGGAAAAACAUUUUAAAAACGCGGGUACAGUUUCCGGGGCAAUAAAGGUUUCUUUGCAUUCUUUUAUUUAUUUGAUUGUUUUUUAAUGUUGUGGUUCUGUUAAGAAUAAUCACAGAAACCUGAAAUCAUCUACAGAACACCAAUAUUAGCCCUAUAUUAAGUAGAAUUGGUUAAAUAUUCAAAAUAGUCCGAUAAUUUUUUUUCAACUAUUUACAGGUAUUUUAAAU